UACGUAGGGGGCUAGCGUUGUCCGGAUUUAUUGGGCGUAAAGCGCGUGUAGGCGGCCAGAUAGGUCUGCUGUGAAAACUCGAGGCUCAACCUCGAGCUGUCGGCGGAAACCAUCUGGCUAGAGUCCGGAAGAGGAGAGUGGAAUUCCCGGUGUAGCGGUGGAAUGCGUAGAGAUCCGGAAGAACACCGGUGGCGAAGGCGGCCUGCUGGGCAGUAGCUGACACUGAGGCGCGACAGCGUGGGGAGCAAACAGG
rnacentral:rRNA from 1 species